rnacentral:lncRNA from 1 species
AGCACGCUAGCGCAGGGAGCUCGGCUCUUUCUCGCCAUGGCGCUCGGCACCCAUCCGGCAGGGCGCCCUUCUUCCCCAUGGAAACCGGCUCCCUCUCCAUGCUCCCUCCCUAGCCGAGCACCUCCAGCAGCCAUGGCCGAGCUUCCUUUCCCCCUGGUCGGCCUCCUCUGCACAGCAGCUCCUUCUCUCCGUUUCCUGUACGUGCGCAGGGGCAAAACUCCAUGGCACCGGCGAAGCUCUAGCUCCAAGCUCCCUGCACCCUCCUCCCCACGUGCAGCACCUCGCUCCCUGUCGGCAGCACGCACACUCAACUCUGGCUUCUCCCCCUGCUUCACCAUGUCGUGCGUCCUGCUCCAUACGUGAUGGUUGGAUGAAGAUGGCCAACAAGUGACUAUGUCAAGUGGGCCCUAGUAGCUAGGGUGAGUGUGCACAAAUUACAACUUUUUGUGUUGUGUUCUAAAAUUCAUAUCUCGAGUUUUAGAGGUCCUAAAAUUGUGAAAUUUGUUUUGUUGGCUACCUUAUGAAAUGUUCUAACUAUUGGAUCUAUAGGUUGGCAUGUUUUAGUGGAAAAGUUUUUCUGUAGAAAUUCGUAUUUAAAAACUGGUUUAGAAAACAAAUGAACUUGCUUCUGUCCAUAGUUUUAAUUAUAAAAAUCCAAAAAUGAUGAAACUUGUUUUGUUGGUUAGAUGUUGUCAUACUCUAGCUAAGAAAAAUAUAAAACACAUAUGGUGUUCACUGUUUUCUUGGUGUGUUAAUUAAAACAUGUUAAAUAGGAAAAAGAUGAUUGUUUUGAUUGUUAUUUUUGGAUCUGUAGCUCUAGUGCUCCAAAUAGAUUGAAAUUUUUACAGUAGACUCUUGGUGUGAUGUUUGGUGACUGGUAAACAUUUCAGGAAUUGUUGUGCAUGUAUGAUUAAGUUAGUGGUUUAACUUAUUUAAUGCACCUUAACUAGUUUUAAAUGAUUUACAAAUAAUGUAUAUAUGCAAAAAUGUAAAAUGGUGUUCCCAUGUCCUUGUGUGAUAUUAUAGUAGCCUAAGAAAACUUAAUAUGGUCAUGCAUCCACAGAAAAUAAUUAGUUUUAGAUUUAACUUGCUCUCACAUGCUUUAUUGCAUUAACAAUUUGUUAUUUUUGUAGUAAAUGCAAUAUAAAAUCUGAGCAUGUGAAAUUUAUACAUUAUUUAUAAUGGGUCAUUACCUAUGCCUCAUAAAAAUUACAGCCCCAAAUUAGAUAGUUUCAUUUGGUGCUAAAAUAACACCUAUUUUAUAAUUAUAAGAACAAUUAGUGAAAAAUUAGAAGUAAACAAGGGCAUGCAUGUUUCUUGAAAUACUUAAGUGAAUUGAUAUAAAUUGAAACUUGAUAACUAAGUCAUAAUGAUUUAAACUUGAGAAAUUGGUGGUAGUGUCUCUCCAUGAUUUUAAUUGAUGAUUGAGUUGAGUGCUAUUGUGCUAGCAAACUGAAAUUCCUGCAUGUACAGUUUUUUGUUGUGCGGUUAAUCUAGUAAAGUAAAGUGUGUUUUAUGUACAUAUGUUCUAUAUAAAAGUUGUAAUUAACUUGUAUAUCUAGCUCUUCUAAAAAUUUAAUGAGCUAAGGAUUAAUGGUUUAGAAGUUAUACUUUUCACAAUUUCAGUACCUGAAUCUGUCCAAUUUCUGAACAGAUUUCAGAAAUUGUAAUGGUUGCUUAAGUUAAUGUUGAAAUAAGUUAUUGGUGGUCAUAAGAAAGUUAUAGAUAACUAUAUUAUCUAACUUGUGUUAAAAUUUGACAGCGAUAGGUCUGACAGUUUAGGAGUUAUGCUUUUUACAAAGUCAGUAACUGAAUCUGUCCACUUUCUGUACAGAUUUCAGAAACUGCAUUGUUUGCUUAAGUUAAUGUUACAAUCUGUUCAUGGUCAUUAUAAGAAAGUUGUAGAUGCUUUUCUGAUCUUGCUUGUGUUAAAAUUUCAUAACCACAGGCCCGAUAAUUUAAGAGUUAUGAAUUCUACAAACUGCUUGCUGUGUUCUGUCCACCGUCAGAACAGAUUUCGAAAACUGUGUUGUUUGAUUUAGUUAAACCUGGAAUCAAUUCUUGGUGAUUAUAAAAGUUAUGUAGUGCUUUUGCUGAGCUUUCCAAAAUGUCUUGGAUCACUCUUUUUGGUGGUCUGAAGAUUAAGUUACAUGUGUUUGAAGUGUGAAGACUGAAUCUGUCCAGUUUUGGACAGCACAGCCUUCAUAGUAUAUUUUAACCUUGAUACAUGCUAAACCAGCCAAGGAUGUUUAUAAAUAAUUUGUAGAACAUUUAAUUACCUUUCCAGAAAGUCUAGGAUCACCUUGUUUGGAUGUCUGGAUCUUCAGUUGUGAAUUUUUGAAGUUGCAAGCCUGAAUCUGUCCAAAUCUGGACAGAGCUGCUGUGUUUGCACAAUUCGACCUUGCUAAGUGUUGAAUCAUGUUGUGAUGAAAAUAUCAAAAUUGUAGAGCACUUUCUAAACUUUCCAGAAAGUCAUAGUUUACUAUUUUUGGCUUAAUAUUUGAAAAGUUAUGAUUAAAACAAGUAACUACGGUGCUGCUGUCCUAAAUGUGUUAGAAGUGAUUGAUUGCUCUACUCUAUUGUGUUUGACUUGAGUGAUUGCUUGCUUGUUUUGGUUUUAAGUGAAUAUGAGUAACAAUGAUAGUAACUAAUAUAAUCAGGUUAUAUAUAAGUAAAUAGUACACAUCUCACUAAGUUAGUGAACUAAAUUGGUUAAGGUCUAAUACGUAGCUUAGCUUAAUCAACAGUUAGCAAGUGCAGUAAUAUAUUAGGAAAACAAAAUGAAUAAUGUCCUGUCCUUGGCUUUCUGCUAAUACUACUAAGUAACCAACGUCAUUAAAGUAGUAUAACAUGUAAUGACGAUUAAACUAUCUCCUCAUGUGUGUUCUCUUUGGUGUGUGCUUGCAUGUGAAUAUUGUGAAUGAUUGUAAAACCCCGAUUAAAUGAAUAUCCCUUUCUGUCUAAGUCUGUCCAAAUAUAUAAGUCAUAGAAAACUUAUGUGUACUUAACUAGUAUAAUAAUAAAAAAACUAAUGGAAAAUUAGAGCGAAUGCGAUAAAUGCUUGCACGUGUGAUGUCGUGUUGCGUUGGUUAACUCUAGAAGGUAAUUGUCGUCUUUGUAAUGGUAUUGAUUACGUAUGCCCGAUGACGUGUAGAUAACUAAUGCUAGUGUGUGGCUGUUUACGGUGUCUUACGAUUUAAUGUUUAGUUCGCUAUCGUCUAUUUUGGGAUUGUCUUGUGAUAUAUUUCAUUAUAUUCAUACAUGUGCAUCCUGCAUCUCAUAUAGGACCGAGAGAUGAUGAUCGAGCAACUGAUGUGGUGCCAACCACAAGACACAGUUGGUGGACGACCUGAGGAAUGGACUUAACCAGUGGAUGCUCGCCAAGCGAGUGCCACCCAGCAAACACUAUCCAAGUGUUAAAUUAAAGGCAAGCCCCGGUUUUAUGCAUAACCGUUUAUAUAUGCUAUUUUACUACACUUAAUGAUUGUAGGCUUGUACUGUGCACUUAAGUGUAGGAGUUGUCUGAAAACCCUAGUUGCAUGAACUCAGGAUUCCUUUUGAGAUGGAUACUAGUAUGCUAGGUCGAGUAGCUGCUUUACUAAUUAGGGAUCUCGGUAGAAGUCGAGUGAUUUUUCUAGCACUCGCGCGAGGUCAGGAAUUGGUUGUAUCCACUUUGAUAACAGAAUGGUGAUGGUCUGUGGACACGAGUCCAUGGGGACGCGUGGUCUACGAGAUGAAAAUUGGAAUAAGGAUUAACGUGCGGAUACCUGUGUCAAGCGUUUGAACAUACUAAACACAUGCCGAGAAAUAUGGUAAAUCGGUAAGCCUAGUACCUGAGUGAACCUGCCCGCAGACUUUACCCCUCACGCGACCUGAGACGUGGUCUCCCAUUCCGGUUAUGGUGGGUACAAGUGCGGUCACUGCACGACGGCAGUCGGGGUCAGUGAGGCAUUGUACGCCAAGGCGGUGAGCCCUGAUCUGUUGCCAGGGAAUCGAUGGGGACGGUUGAUGUGUGUGGGGACGGAGUGCCCCUACAUGUCGUGUGUUUAGGUUUACCUUGCAAGGAUAAAAACUCGAUUCGAAUCGUCUGCUUCUCGCAGCUAAUGAGACUGCUUGAUCCAUUGUACUGCAUUGAGUAAUAAGUGGAAAUGAGUUGACGGGCAAAAGAUGUUGAUUUGUAAAAAUGUUUGAUACCAUGUAUGACUAGUUUGGUACACAUCUAGUAAAAAGGAGCAUACUAAAACUUGAAAAAGCUAAAACAUGAUUUUAGACUCAGCUAGUGCUUUUGGCAAACCAAACCCCUCAGCCAAACAGCUGCAUGUCUAGAGGUAGAGGAGUAGACUCCUCACACCGGGUAAGUCUAGCUGAGUAUUAGUAUACUCAGCCUUGCUUGUGGCACAAUUUUUGCAGGUACUCCUUAGGAUGAUUGGUUGAUGGUGUGACUUGGCCUCCAUCCCUGCCACCGGGAUAGACGGUCGAGUGGGUUAUUGCUUCCGCGAGAGAGGACCAGGAGGAGUAGCGUGGCCAGGCUUCGCCAUGUUACUCGGUUCUUCUCCGUUAGUUAUUCCGCUGCAAUAAAAUUUAUGGUUAUUAUUUCUGAAACUCCGAUAAUGUAAUCACUAUUGAUACUUAUUAAAUUGUGGUAUUAUGCUUUAUUGUAUUUCUCUGUGCCUCACCUUCGAGUGAGCUAGUGGUAUUCGAUCCUGGUUAAGUGGCUUUAUCGGACUAGAUCCGAGGGACUGACGGGUUAUUCCUAUUUAAGUGUGGUCUAGCCUCUAAGGCGGGACUUAGGCACUUAAGUUGGAAUAAUUCGGGUGGUUCCGCCACAGCUGGUAUCGGAGCGAAUACCAUCACAGAGAAGUCAAUAAGUCAUGAUUACCAACCUUUUCUAGAGUAAAACUUGCUAGAAAUCAAAGUUGGAUAGAUCGUCAGGACGAUCAGGAUAGACCUAGGACGUGAAGCCUUAGGACAUAGAUGGGUAGCUAGGUGGCUAUUUAUAAAGGCCAUAAAGGCUACUACUACUACUAAUAAGGAUGUUGUAGAAGCAUCCGAUAAAGUAGUUAGGUCUGAGAAGACGACUAGAAUGAGCAUGCAUCAUGAUUGUCGCAUCAUUGUCUCUUGUGCAUUAACAUGCUUCUCUCACCUUCAUUCCAAUAAUAAGAAAUUGUGAAUAAUGUGCUGUAUUGCUAGGAACUGCAAAAGAAGUCUUAUCCUGUGUGUCAACAUAGUCUUGACUAGGUUGUGUUAUGUGCUUCUCUUGUCUGGCAAAAAAAAAUGUUUUAAUUGUUCAACCCUUUUUACAAAAAAAUGUUGUCUGCUCUUCUCAUGAAAAGACCCCACUCCAAACAACCUUGAGUUUAGCAAGUGAAACCUUCUUAAAAAAAUCCUACUUGUGUUGGUAUUUUCUAGCCCCCUUCAGUGUUUUACCUUUGAAGUUACACCUGCACAGCUUAUAGACCCCCACAGCUUGACCGCUAGACCAACCCAAGUCUCCUUGUGUACUUGUGUCAAAAAAAUAAAUUUUAUUAUUGGUGUCUAGUUGCGCAAACCCUAUCAAGGCCAUGUUUCUUUCCAUAAAUCCUUGCCCCUAAAACUUCAUAGCAUUUCUGUUGAUCAUCCUAGCUGAUCUUGCUUGAUGACGUCUCUUUUUACCCAGAUCUAGUAAUCUUUUCCUUUGUGACUCAUGUUGUGGCCUUGUCAUCCAAAUCUCUAGAUCAUCCAAUGAAUCUGCCCUAUUAUCUGGUUAUCUCCUAUAACCCGUUCUCAAGCAUCGGAUGUUGAUCUGCCUAAAUCUCUCAUUUCUGAUCAUUCUCAUACUCCUUCUCCGAGGAUCAUGACGAUAUUUUAUCUAAGCAGUGUAUCCCUUUGGUUCGAUGGAUUAUGUUGUUGUCUUUAGUUCUCUCACGUCUCAGCAAGUUGCCAAUCUUGAUCUCAUGGUUGGUUCCUUCUCAUAUCAAAUCUCAUAAUAAUCUCUGGCCUGAUAAUCUCCGUGUUGAUCAUAAAAUAGUUCUCUGAGUCGAAGAAAAUUCUUAGGUGAUGCUCUUUUGACAGCAGUCUCUGCUUCAACUCUACCACAUUCUUAUUUUCUGAGCCAUACUCUCAUGGGCUCCAUCUAUCUGUGCUAUGUAAAUUUCUUAUUGGUUGCGUUUGGUAAUGACGUCAUGACUAACGACUGAUGGUGCCGCGACGAAACCGAGAGCCUACUAUGGUGCACACAUGGUUGAGCUGCUCGGCACACGCUGGUAUUGCGGUUAAUAGUCGUGAUCCAUUACGAGACUAUACUGAUGUGCUACCUUUUGUGAACAUUCUCUCAGAAUGAUCGCUGCAUUUUGUCUCAACAUGUCGCGAUAUUCUAUCCAAAUCUAUCUUCCGUAUCUUGUCAGAUCCCAUCUCAUGAAUUUGCAUCUAUCUUCAGCCCGGGAGUUACAUGCUUCUCCGCCCUUAAAGAUACUCAUUCGAAUCUCGGGACGAGAUUCUGUUUAAGGGGGGAAGGCUGUGACACCCCAGGUGUCAAUUUCGCAUUAUGUCGGAAGAAUUAUCCUAAUCUCGGAUGCUCAGUGAAAAUUUCUAUUUCUCGAUCGUGUCUAUCUUUGUCUAUCAGGCUUUCUCAUGGAAGUUCAUCGAAUUCAGAGUUAAUCGAUCGCGAGAAACAACCAAGUUUGGAGCGUGUUAAAACUUUUAAUUCUUGGCAUGGAUGCAAAACUCGAUACUCAAUCUCGAUUUAUAAAUCUCGUCUAAAGCUCAUUUAAUCAAACGCUCGACAGCUGCUAGUCGAGCUGUGUCCGACUCCGAUUUCUCGAUGUUCGAUCUAUGUCCAAAAAUUAAUCCGACUCCGUACUCUCAAACGGAAUGCUCAAUAUGUCGUCCUCUGAUUAAUUCUCACUCGACUCAGCCAAAUAUCUCAUGUCCGAACCGAAUUCAAAAUCUCGUAUCGACAACGAUUUUAAAAUGCCACGAUUCACCUUUUCCGACUAAAAAUCCGAAAGCCGAUCAAAUCUCAGGACGGUUUAUUUUCGAUUUACGCGUAGGGAAUUAUCUUCAAGCGAAAUCUAAUUAGACUCUCGGCCGAAUUAAUUGCUCAAUCGUCCGUUCGCCGAAAUCAAUUUCGCUCUGUUCUGUGUACAGACAAAUUCCGCGGGAACAUUUAUUCCGGAAAAAUAAUUUAGCGCGACCCGAGUACGUGUUUUGGGCCAAGCCCAUUCCAGCCCGGCCCAUUUGGCCCACUAAGGAAAACCCUAACCCUAGUGUCCCUCUAUAAAUAGCAGUCCUCUCCUAGCAAGUGGAGGCAUUUUUGCGCUCCCACCCCUCAUUUUCUCCCAGCCGCCACAACAAUUCUUCCUCCCUGUUCACAACAGCAGCACGCUAGCGCAGGGAGCUCGGCUCUUUCUCACCAUGGCGCUCGGCACCCAUCCGGCAGGGCGCCCUUCUUCCCCAUGGAAACCGGCUCCCUCUCCAUGCUCCCUCCCUAGCCGAGCACCUCCAGCAGCCAUGGCCGAGCUUCCUUUCCCCCUGGUCGGCCUCCUCUGCACAGCAGCUCCUUCUCUCCGUUUCCUGUACGUGCGCAGGGGCAAAACUCCAUGGCACCGGCGAAGCUCCAGCUCCAAGCUCCCUGCACCCUCCUCCCCACGUGCAGCACCUCGC